CAAGCUCAAUCGCAUGCAUUCUCCUUCCAGCCCCCCACUUUUUAGGUCAAGUUACAAGAAAUUAAAGAAAAUUAUAUUAAUUAAUAAGAAAGAAGAGUUGUUAUAUAAAACAUGAAAAGAAAUGCAAAUAAAUUAAAUGGAAAAGCUAAAAACUAUCUCUAAAACCUAUCCUAUUCUAAAGAGUAUUUGAAAUUCUCUCCUCUCCUGUUGAAAUUAGCUCAAAAACACAGAUUCAUAUCAUAGGAUACCCUUGAAGUGUUUACAAGUUUCCGUCAAGUAGUGAAAUUCCACAAAAUACCCUUUUGUAACCAAUCUAUAUCUGACUUAGUAUUGUAACUUCACCUUGCCUGUGUUGCUACAUUCUUCUGAUUAUUGGCCUUUCCAUUCAACUCAGUUGCGCAGGUCAUGACAUUCCUUCAGCUCAUGUCGCAAAAUUGGUUAAUGGAGUUGCAAUUCGCUCUUCAAAUUAUUCGCCAAGGUUGCAGCAUUCCAAUGGUUGGUGUCGCCACAUCUAUCUAAGCUAUUGCAGUUUGUCCUCCAAGUCCAUAUUCAGAGUCACAACAUAUUCUAGCUUGUGUCCCGAUUUUCAUAUGGAUAUUUGGUUUUUCAGGAUUAGUCACGGCCAAGGUCACAACAUUUUCCAGCUUUGUGUCAUGACCUCCAACACCGGUUCCACACAUCUUCCUUGAAGUUUUCAGCUAGCAACGUAACACUAAAACAUGAAGAUUAAAACUCAAUAAUUAAAAUGCUUAAUAUGCAUCCAAAAUAACAUGAAUGGAAUGCUAAAAUGUGAAAAAUCCUAAAUCAUUAAGAAACACUCCUCAAAUCAAUGAUUUUACAAUAAAACCAGCUAAAUUUAAGUGUGAAAUGGGUUCAAAAGCAUAUAUCAACUAGUGAUAAAGUGAAUAAUUUCUCAAACUAUUUGUAAUAUUUUUCGCCUUAUGCUAUUUAUG
rnacentral:lncRNA from 1 species